rnacentral:rRNA from 1 species
GAUGAAGGCUGGCUGGGUGGCUGACACAUGCAAUUCGAGCGGAGUUAUACGCUGUGGAGGCCUUCGGGCCGAACCUUGUAUAAUUUAGCGGCGGACGGGUGAGUAACACGUGRAUAAUCUGCCCUUUGCUGCGGGAUACCAGUCGGAAACGAUUGUUAAUACCGCAUAAGCUCACAUCACCGCAUGGUGAAGUGAGAAAAGAUUUAUCGGCAAAGGAUGAGUCCGCGUUAGAUUAGCUAGUUGGUGGGGUAAAGGCCUACCAAGGCUGCGAUCUAUAGCCGACCUGAGAGGGUGAUCGGCCACACUGGGACUGAGACACGGCCCAGACUCCUACGGGAGGCAGCAGUGAGGGAUAUUGCACAAUGGGCGAAAGCCUGAUGCAGCAACGCCGCGUGAAGGAUGAAGGUUUUCGGAUCGUAAACUUCUAUCGAUGGGGACGAAAAAAAUGACGGUACCCAAGUAAGAAGCCCCGGCUAACUACGUGCCAGCAGCCGCGGUAAUACGUAGGGGGCAAGCGUUAUCCGGAAUUACUGGGUGUAAAGGGUGAGUAGCCGGCAGAGCAAGUCACAUGUGAAAUUCCAGGGCUCAACCCUGGGACUGCAUGAGAAACUGCUUUGCUAGAGUACAGGAGAGGUUAGCGGAAUUCCUUGUGUAGCGGUGAAAUGCGUAGAUAUAAGGAAGAACACCAGUGGCGAAGGCGGCUAACUGGACUGAAACUGACGGUGAGUCACGAAAGCGUGGGGAGCGAACAGGAUUAGUUACCCUGGUAGUCCACGCUGUACACGAUGCUAKCUAGSUGUCGGGGUGAGAAUCCUCGGUGCCGACGUUAACACMUUCAGCUAGCCACCUCGCAUCCAGUCGUCCUCUGCUGC